rnacentral:rRNA from 1 species
GACGAACGCUGGCGGCGUGCUUAACACAUGCAAGUCGAACGAAGUGGCGAACGGGUGAGUAAUACGUGGGUAACCUGCCCUCCUUUUUGGGAUAAGCCUUGGAAACGGGGUCUAAUACCGAAUAAAGGGGGAUGGGCUCGCGGCCUAUCAGCUUGUUGGUGGGGUGAUGGGCUACCAAUGCGGUGACGGGUAGACGGCAUGAGAGGGUGACCGGCAAAAUGGGGACGGGGAUACGGCCCAGAGUAGUACGGGAGGGAGAAUUGGGGAAUAUUGCACAAUGGGCGAAAGCCUGAUGCAGCGACGCCGCGUGGGGGAUGAAGGCUUUAGGGUUGUAAACCUCUUUCGCAAUCGAAGGGGUAGGUGGAGAAGAAGCGCCGGCUAACUACGUGCCAGCAGCCGCGGUAAUUC